UCCUACGGGGGGCAGCAGUGAGGAAUAUUGGUCAAUGGGCGGGGGCCUGAACCAGCCAAGUCGCGUGAGGGAAGACGGUCCUAUGGAUUGUAAACCUCUUUUGCCGGGGAGCAAGGGCCGGGACGAGUCCCGGUCCGGAGAGUACCCGGAGAAAAAGCAUCGGCUAACUCCGUGCCAGCAGCCGCGGUAAUACGGAGGAUGCGAGCGUUAUCCGGAUUUAUUGGGUUUAAAGGGUGCGUAGGCGGGCUUUUAAGUCAGCGGUAAACAUUCGGGGCUCAACCCCGUCCGGCCGUUAAAACUGGGGG
rnacentral:rRNA from 1 species